GGGAAAUACACACUCAGAGUCACAAGGUUCAGUGUACUCCUUCAUUAACAAAUGAAAAUUUGUGCGUCCAGACCGUGGUCGGGGAGCACAGGGGAGACUUUGUUUACUACUCCAGGACCGAAGUCACCGCUAACUUCGGGGUUAACUCCCUCCACUUUAUCAACAGAUGAAGACUCCAGUGAUGCAGACUGCCAGGAGCAGCAGCAGUCCUACAACACCUCCAAUAACAGGACCAGCAGGGAACUCUGAGGG